rfam:Bacillus vietnamensis strain TCD-SED5 scaffold_42, whole genome shotgun sequence.
UCUGGUGACAAUGGCGAAGAGGUCACACCCGUUCCCAUGCCGAACACGGAAGUUAAGCUCUUCAGCGCCGAUGGUAGUUGGGGGAUCUCCCCCUGUGAGAGUAGGACGUCGCCAGGC